GGAUGGACUUCACCACAUCCAACAACAUUCAGGCUGAUUUCUUGGAACACAUGGGAUUGACAGCUCCUUGUGCUCUUCUUCUACAGCACAACUGUUUCUCUUGCUCAGAAACCAUCUCUGGGAAGAGCAACAAUUCACCCAGCAGAGAGUGAAGGUCUAAGAUUCCCAAAGCAUCCCAAGACAUCUGCUCUGUAUUGGUUUGCAGAGCUGCUCCAGAAACACGAGCUCUGCAGCAAGAAAACAGAUUCUAUUUCAUGGCCAGAGCUUUGGGAGCAAAGAAAAAGAGGAUUAAAGAGAACAGUUAAAAUACA